rnacentral:rRNA from 1 species
CUGCAGCCCGAGUGGUGAUCGAUUUUAUUGAGCCUAAGGCGUCCGUAGCCGGACUAGUAAACCCUUGGGUAAAUUGGGCAGCUUAACUGUCCAAAUUCCGAGGGGACUGCUAGUCUUGGGACCGGGAGAGGUCAGAGGUACUCCAGGGGUAGGGGCUAAAUCCUGUAAUCCUUGGGGGACCACCAGUGGCGAAGGCGUCUGACUAGAACGGAUCCGACGGUAAGGGACGAAACCCUGGGGCGCGAACCGGAUUAGAUACCCGAGUAGUCC